GGCCAUUUCACUUCAGUGAUUCGACUGAUUUCACCAAAACACCAACAGACUGAAUGGAGAAUCACCAACCGUUCUCUGGGCCUGUCUGACUGCUAUUGUGUUUGAUGGAGACAAGCAAUGGGAAAAGAGCAAGAGUGACUGCACUGACUCGGAGUAUUGAGAGUGAGCUUAAAGAAGAGGAAGGUGUAACGUUUGACCUGAAAUCAGUACUCCAUUCUGUUGCCGCAAGACUAGUUUCCUCGGCAGAAGAGGAUAAAAGCGUAUUUGGGACACUUACUGCUUGAAGACUUGGUAUAUUCCAGUAUUUCUAUUAAAAUGAAUACUGAUCAAGUUGAAAACUUGUCAGAGUAGUAUCGAAAUAUGUCCUUGCUGUACAAUGGAAUCCUUCUACUAGUUGUGUCACUGUCACAUGACCAGCAGAACCAAAAUGCAUCAGUCAUUGAUCAUUAAGAAUUUGACAAUCCCCUGAUGUCAAGGUACUAAUGUUAAUUAAAGUGCUAGUUGAAAGUGACAAGAAAUUUUCUUCAAAAGUACAUAUUACAUGAUCUCUCUCUACACUGUUUGUUACUCAAUGCGUCAAAGACACUGUUGAGUCAUAUCCUCUAAAUAGAGUGCUUUAAUGUGAUUGGUUGAAGUCAUAGAGCCCCUCCCCUAGUCAUGAAGCCUUGUUGCUUUUAAUUACUGAGUUUUGUGAUAACAUUCAUCCAAGAGUUCAUGAAAAAGCAAUGAAAGCACUAGUACAUUUGCUAAGUUUUGCUAAUUUUACACUGUUGUAGAAAAGUUUUGUCUGAUGAUUGGAUACCUUCAAA